rnacentral:rRNA from 1 species
GACGAACGCUGGCGGCGUGCUUAACACAUGCAAGUCGAACGGAAAGGCCCUGCUUUUGUGGGGUGCUCGAGUGGCGAACGGGGGAGUAACACGUGAGUAACCUGCCCUUGACUUUGGGAUAACUUCAGGAAACUGGGGCUAAUACCGGAUAGGAGCUCCUGCUGCAUGGGGGGGGAUGGAAAGUUUCGGCGGUUGGGGAUGGACUCGCGGCUUAUCAGCUUGUUGGUGGGGUAGUGGCUUACCAAGGCUUUGACGGGUAGCCGGCCUGAGAGGGUGACCGGCCACAUUGGGCCUGAGAUACGGCCCAGACUCCUACGGGAGGCAGCAGUGGGGAAUAUUGCACAAUGGGCGGAAGCCUGAUGCGGCAACGCCGCGUGCGGGAUGACGGCCUUCGGGUUGUAAACCGCUUUCGCCUGUGCCGAAGCGUGAGUGACGGUAAUGGGUAAAGAAGCACCGGCUAACUACGUG